rnacentral:rRNA from 1 species
UGGGGAAUAUUGGACAAUGGGGGCAACCCUGAUCCAGCCAUGCCGCGUGAGUGAAGAAGGCCUUAGGGUUGUAAAGCUCUUUCACCCGUGACGAUGAUGACGGUAGCGGGAGAAGAAGCCCCGGCUAAUUCCGUGCCAGCAGCCGCGGUAAUACGUAGGGGGCUAGCGUUAUCCGGAAUUACUGGGCGUAAAGGGUGCGUAGGUGGUUUCUUAAGUCAGAGGUGAAAGGCUACGGCUCAACCGUAGUAAGCCUUUGAAACUGGGAAACUUGAGUGCAGGAGAGGAGAGUGGAAUUCCUAGUGUAGCGGUGAAAUGCGUAGAUAUUAGGAGGAACACCAGUUGCGAAGGCGGCUCUCUGGACUGUAACUGACACUGAGGCACGAAAGCGUGGGGAGCAAACA